rnacentral:rRNA from 1 species
CGGACGGGUGAGUAACGCGUGGGUAACCUGCCUCAUACAGGGGGAUAACAGUUAGAAAUGACUGCUAAUACCGCAUAAGCGCACAAAACCGCAUGGUUUGGUGUGAAAAACUGAGGUGGUAUGAGAUGGACCCGCGUCUGAUUAGCUAGUUGGAGAGGUAACGGCUCACCAAGGCAACGAUCAGUAGCCGGCCUGAGAGGGUGACCGGCCACAUUGGGACUGAGACACGGCCCAAACUCCUACGGAAGGCAGCAG